UAAAAUCUCUUCUCUGCUAAAAUUUCACCCAACUCUAAAUCUCUCAAAUCAAGAUGUGAAUCUUAUUUAUCAGGAAUACAAAAAGAAAAUCAUGCAGAAAGACUCAUUUGAAGCCUAUUUGGUGUUGUUAUUAUUGAUUUUCAGUCUUGACAGAAUUCUCACGUGUCUCUUUUUUGGAAAAUGAAAGGAACUGGACGAGGUAAAAGUGGGAGAGGCGGCACAAUCUGUGGUCGUGAAAAAUUCCAAUGACGUGAGAAAUUCUAUUUCUGGAGAAAUAAACACACCAGAUAAAGUCUGGGAGAUCCAACAUACCCGUAAGGAUCUAGCUAGAAGUGAAAAAGAAGAUACAAGAACUAUUUGCUACUUUCAUGACCAGAAUGCAACAGGUCAUGGAGUUGCGUAAGAAUUAAGAGAUUGAAAAUCAUCAAAUACCUGCAAGAAAAGUAUCAAAUUCAGUCCAAAACUGAAGAAGAAAACUAAAGAAGCAAAAGUCCAUCCUGCGUGGGCCACGCAAGUCACCCACGCAGGUCACCUACACAGUUGGAGAACUUGGAGGCUGAAAGUUUAAGUUCUGGAAGUGGCCAUGCAUCCUGGGUGGGCCACGCAUCUUGACCAUGUACUGAGAGCUGAAGAAAUAGAGUACUGGGCCACGCAUCCUGCGUGGGCCAUGCAACUUUGCCACGCAAGACCCGACGAGGAUAAUUUUGUCAGCUUUUUAGGUUUUUUUGAAAACUUUGAUAGAGAAGAAUAUUGUACGAGCGGCUGUGAGUUUUCCUAAGGGUUAACAAGUGACAUCAUGGUUUCUCAAAACAUCACUGUUUCUCAAUCCUUUUCUUCUGUAUUAGCAUCAAUGACUGGAUUAAGGAUAAUUUGAUUAUUGUUUCUAUUGUCAUGUCUAGCUAAACUCAUUAGCUAGGGU